rnacentral:rRNA from 1 species
UACGGAGGGUGCAAGCGUUGUUCGGAUUUAUUGGGCGUAAAGCGCGUGUAGGCGGUUUCUUAAGUCUGAUGUGAAAGCCCUGGGCUCAACCCAGGAAGUGCAUUGGAUACUGGGAAGCUUGAAUACGGGAGAGGGUAGUGGAAUUCCUAGUGUAGGAGUGAAAUCCGUAGAUAUUAGGAGGAACACCGGUGGCGAAGGCGGCUACCUGGACCGAUAUUGACGCUGAGACGCGAAAGCGUGGGGAGCAAACAGG